rnacentral:rRNA from 1 species
GCCCAGCCGUAAACUUUUAUUUACAUCUAAAUCGCCGGGGAACUACGAGCCGAGCUUAAAACCCAAAGGACUUGACGGUACCCCAUAUCCCCCUAGAGGAGCCUGUCCUGUAAUCGACAAUCCACGUUUAACCUCACCAUUUUUAGUUUAUCAGCCUGUAUACCUCCGUCGUCAGCUUACCACGUGAGCGCCUAUUAGUGAGCCCGAUGCUAUUUCACCAACACGUCAGGUCAAGGUGCAGCAAAUGAAAUGGGAAGAGAUGGGCUACACUUUCUAUUUUAGAAGAAACGAAAAACUAUUUAUGAAAUCUAGUUAGAAGGCGGAUUUAGUAGUAAAAAGGAAUUAGCAUGUCCAUUUUAACCCGGCACUGGGGUGUGU